CGUCGCGGCCGCGGCUCCAGAGCCCCUGGGCCUCGCGCUCUGAGAGCCUGAGCCGCUUGAGGAGGCCAAGCGCCCACGAACCGCAUUCCCUGCCUUGCUAGUUAGUUCUCCAACACGCGAAAAAGGUAGACGAGGACUGGUUUUCUUUGCAGCUAAAAUGAAUCAAGCCUCUGGUAAGUGUGGAUCCUGUUCUAAGUGCACCUGUGUUCUCCUCCAGAACUAAACCAAAAAGCAAGGUGAACAAAAUCGGUGCUCCUUCAGUUUCUUCUUUAGUUCUGCAUGUUACUGGGGACUAAGACAACGGGUAAGCAAACUAUUUAUAGGCCUCAAUUUACGAAAUAACGGAAUUGCAAAGUCCGGAGUGGAUAGGACCGUGAGGACGGUCUUUUUUCUUGGGCAACACGCAUUAUGGUCGAGAGAUCAGUUGUUAAACCGCCCCUGUUCAAAUCCCAGCCCUACCAGUGACUAGCGGUCACCCUGUAGGCUUUGUCUCUCAGAUCUUCAGUUUCUUGGUGGGUAAAAUGGGAACUACAAGUAGCACCUAUUCUUUUUUUUUUUUUUUUUUGAGUCAGGGUCUCACUCUGUCGCCCAUGCUGGAGUGCAGUGCUAACUGCAGCCUCAGCUUCCCGGGCUCAGAGGAUCCUCCCACCUUAGCCUACUAAGUAGGUGGGACCACAGUCAGGCAUCACCACACCCGGCUAAUUUUUUAAAUUUUCGUAGAGAUAGGCUCUCUGUGUGUUUCCCAGGCUGGUCUUGAAAUCCUGGACUCAAGCGACCCUCCCUCCUCAGCUUCCCAAAGUGCUGGGAUUAGAGGCAUGAGCCACGGUGCGGGCCAGGAGCACCUAUUUCAUAGGCCCAUCGGGAAGAUUAAAUGAAGGGGCUGUGGAGGCUGUAGCACGGUGCUUGGCACGUAUGUGAGCUCUGGGGAAACAUUAGUUAUGCUAUAACUGGACCUUCAGCCUUCUCUAGGCAGCCAGAUUUCGGGCUCCACCCACAACUAGUCACGCCAUUGGAUGAGGGGUGAGCGCCUGAUAAAAACAGCCGGCGUAUGCGCUGAUGUGCGUUCACGAAGAGGUGAUCCAAGUGUUUCCAUAUUUGCCUCACUGGACGAAGUAUUUGGUAAAAUUGACGAAAUUCAGAGUCCUGGACCCCAUCAUCACCUAUGGAAUUAUUCUAGAUGAGAGGGGACUAGGCAUUGGCAUUUUUUUAUUUUGGUCCCUUACAAUACUCAUCAUUGGGAAAAUUUGAAAAACAUCAACCUAAGCCGUCAUGCUCGCACUCGAGAAUGUUUCCCCUAGGCUGAUUGACGGGCAGUGGUAUUCACAGGUGCGGUCAGCGCAGUCCAGCUUCAAACUUCCGGGGAUCAAGUGAUCCUCCCGCCUGAGGAGCUGAGAUUACAGGCCUGCACCACCAUGCUCAUCUAUCAGGGGAAUUUAAAGUGCAAAAUAUUAAUAUGAGUAAGCAGGCAGUUGGCCUUCGAAACAGAAUCUGAAAAUACACUAAGGUAAAAGCAAACUGAAUUUCGACAGAAGUAGAACGUGUAUGGUAGAGAAAAGAAAUGCAGAGUAAAGGGAAAGGAGCCAGGAAAUGCACUAAUUAGAAAAUCUUGGCCAGGCGCGGUGUCUUAUGCCUGUAAUCCCAGCACUUUGGGAGGCCGAGGCGGGUGAAUCAUGAGAUCAGGAGUUCGAGACCAGUCUGGCCAAUAUGGUGAAACCCCAUCUCUACUAAAAAUAUGCAAAAAUUAGCUGGGUGUGGUGGUGGCGGGUGCCUGUAGUCCCAGCUGCUCAGGAGGCUGAGGCAGGAGAAUCUCUUGAACUCGGGAGGCGGAGGUUGCAGUGAGCCGAGAUCGCGCCACUGCGCUCCAGCCUGGGCGACAGAAUGAGACUUCGUCUCAAGAAAAAGAGAAAAUCUUUGAGGUGAGGUGCAGUGGCUCACGCCUGUAAUCCCAGCACUUUGGGAGGCCAAGGCAGGCAGAUCACUUGAGGUCAGGAGUUUGAGACCAGCCUGGCCAACAUGGUGAAACCCCGUCUCUACUAAAAAUACAAAAAUUAGCCGGGCGUGGUGGCGUGCGCCUGUAAUCCCAGCUACUCCGGAGGCUGAGGCAGGAGAAUCACUUGAAUCCGGGAGGCAGAGGCUGCAGUGAGCCGAGAUCACGCCAUUGCACUCCAGCCUGGGCAACAGAGCGAGACUCCAUCUCAAAAAAAAAAAGGAGUUGGGAUUUUAUCCUGAGGAAAAAGGUAAGCCGUCAGAGGGUUGUGGGAAGGUGGGCGAUGGUCCAACUUGCAUGAAAGGAUGGCUGUGAGAUGAUGAACGCACAGAGACAGCAGUGCAGAUGGAGUAGAGAGCCACGGUUGGACUGAAGACAGUCGGCAAGGUUUUGUGGGCUGUAAAAGAAGGGUCCAGGGUGAGGUUAGCAUUGUCUGGAAGAGAGCUUUAAGGAAGAUGCCGGUUUGGGUGAAAAAAGAGUUUAGUUUUGUGCACUUAAAGUCUGAGAUGUUCUUUGCACCUCCUGCGUGGGUGAUGGGUACAGGACAUGAGGGGCGCAGCAACAGAAACCGGAGACACAGCCAGACGGAAGCAGGAGCAGGGAGGCCAUCGGGGUGCAGCAGUGCUCCUUGGCCUAAUAGCAGCAGGGCACCAGUGAAGGUUUCCAACGCGAGGCCUGAAGAUCAGAUUCCUAUUUUACAACAUCAGCCUGGAAACAGCAUGAAGGAAGUGAGGCCAAGUGGGAAACUGUGGCAGUAGUUUGAGUAGAAACAGAGCAACAGGAGGAUGCAGAGAGGCCGGGGAGGGCCAGGUGGCCAGCACAGCCCCAAGGGGCCAUGGUGACAGCUGCUGGAGAACCAGCAUUGCCACAUUCUCCAACCUGGAAAUUAAAUUUUUAUGGGACAUUUCAUUAAGGGCAAUUAAUUUGUAAAACAUUCUGUGGGCCAAAGAAAACCUCUCAGAUCUACAAAACCCUGAUCUGGAGCCCCUGUGGGGGGCAUGCUCAAAUAGUUGGCCAGGAUGCUUGUGUCCUUUAACGCUGUUCCCUGGGCCCCACUCUAGAGAUUCUGAUUGAGUAGAUCUGGAGUGAGAUUCAGAAGUGUCCACCACGCCCGGCCAAUUUUUAAAACUCUAAACUCCGUACUUUGUCGGUAGCCCUAUCAAUUGCAGUGUCUAUUGUCAAAUACUAUUUUCUGUUCUAUUUUAUCCCCAAUUUUUAUUGUGGUAAAAUACACAUAACAUGAAAUGUACCGUCUUUCUUUUUUGUUGUUGUUGUUUUUGUUUUUCCUUUUUUUUUAGAGACGGGGUCUCAUUCUGUCCCCCAGGCUGGACUGCAAUAGUAUGACCAAGACUCACUGUAACCUUAAAUUCCUGGGCUCAAGGGAUCCUCCCAGCUCAGCCUCCUGAGUAGCUGGGA
rnacentral:lncRNA from 1 species